rnacentral:rRNA from 1 species
CCCUUAGAUGUUCUGGGCCGCACGCGUGCUACACUGAGUGGAUCAGCGGGUCAGGUUGCGCGAAAGCGUUUCCUAAUCUUGAAAUCCGCUCGUGAUGGGGAUUGACGGUUGCAAUUUUCUGUCAUGAACGAGGAAUACCUUGUAAGCGCGGGUCAUCGUCCCGCGCUGAAUACGUCCCUGCCCUUUGUACACACCGCCCGUCGCUCCUACCGAUUGAGUGGUCCGGUGAGGCUUUGGGAUCUGAGCGGAAAGAGCGUUUCGCUCGUUCUGCCCGGAAAACUCAGUCGAACCUUAUCAUUUAGAGGAAGGAGAAGUCGUAACA